rnacentral:rRNA from 1 species
UGGGGAAUUUUGGACAAUGGGCGAAAGCCUGAUCCAGCAAUGCCGCGUGUGUGAAGGAGGCCUUCGGGUUGUAAAGCACUUUUGUCCGGAAAGAAAUCCUUGGCUCUAAUACAGUCGGGGGAUGACGGUACCGGAAGAAUAAGCACCGGCUAACUACGUGCCAGCAGCCGCGGUAAUACGUAGGGUGCAAGCGUUAAUCGGAAUUACUGGGCGUAAAGCGUGCGCAGGCGGUUUGCUAAGACCGAUGUGAAAUCCCCGGGCUCAACCUGGGAACUGCAUUGGUGACUGGCAGGCUAGAGUAUGGCAGAGGGGGGUAGAAUUCCACGUGUAGCAGUGAAAUGCGUAGAGAUGUGGAGGAAUACCGAUGGCGAAGGCAGCCCCCUGGGCCAAUACUGACGCUCAUGCACGAAAGCGUGGGGAGCAAAACAGGAUUAGAUACCCUGGUAGUCCACGCCCUAAACGAUGUCAACUAGUUGUUGGGGAUUCAUUUCCUUAGUAACGUAGCUAACGCGUGAAGUUGACCGCCUGGGGAGUACGGUCGCAAGAUUAAAACUCAAAGGAAUUGACGGGGUCAUAGCUGUUUCCU